rnacentral:rRNA from 1 species
GUGGCAGGGCGGCGUGCUUACCAUGCAGUCGACGGUAAGGCCCUUCGGGGUACACGAGUGGCGAACGGGUGAGUAACACGUGGGUGAUCUGCCCUGCACUUUGGGAUAAGCCUGGGAAACUGGGUCUAAUACCGAAUACACCCUGCUGGUCGCAUGGCCUGGUGGGGGAAAGCUUUUGCGGUGUGGGAUGGGCCCGCGGCCUAUCAGCUUGUUGGUGGGGUGAUGGCCUACCAAGGCGACGACGGGUAGCCGGCCUGAGAGGGUGUCCGGCCACACUGGGACUGAGAUACGGCCCAGACUCCUACGGGAGGCAGCAGUGGGGAAUAUUGCACAAUGGGCGCAAGCCUGAUGCAGCGACGCCGCGUGAGGGAUGACGGCCUUCGGGUUGUAAACCUCUUUCACCAGGGACGAAGCGUGAGUGACGGUACCUGGAGAAGAAGCACCGGCCAACUACGUGCCAGCAGCCGCGGUAAUACGUAGGGUGCGAGCGUUGUCCGGAAUUACUGGGCGUAAAGAGCUCGUAGGUGGUUUGUCGCGUUGUUCGUGAAAACUCACAGCUUAACUGUGGGCGUGCGGGCGAUACGGGCAGACUGGAGUACUGCAGGGGAGACUGGAAUUCCUGGUGUAGCGGUGGAAUGCGCAGAUAUCAGGAGGAACACCGGUGGCGAAGGCGGGUCUCUGGGCAGUAACUGACGCUGAGGAGCGAAAGCGUGGGGAGCGAACAGGAUUAGAUACCCUGGUAGUCCACGCCGUAAACGGUGGGUACUAGGUGUGGGUUUCCUUCCUUGGGAUCCGUGCCGUAGCUAACGCAUUAAGUACCCCGCCUGGGGGAGUACGGCCGCAAGGCUAAAACUCAAAGAAAUUGACGGGGGCCCGCACAAGCGGCGGAGCAUGUGGAUUAAUUCGAUGCAACGCGAAGAACCUUACCUGGGUUUGACAUGCACAGGACGCCGGCAGAAGAUGUCGGUUCCCUUGUGGCCUGUGUUGCAGGUGGUGCAAUGGCUGUCGUCAGCUCGUGUCGUGAGAAUGUUUGGGUUAAGUUCCCGCAACGAAGGGCAACCCUUGUCUCAUGUUGGCAGCACCUUUUUGGUGGGGGAAUCCUGAAAAAACUGGCCGGGGUCAAUUCCGAAGAAAAAGGGGGGGGAUGACGGUCCAAGUCCUUAUGCCCCCCUUAUUGUUCAGGGGGUUUUACCAUUGGCUUCA